rnacentral:rRNA from 1 species
GCCAGACCCAUGUCAACCUGCAGUUCUUACCUAGUGUUCGAAGCUAAGCAGGGUUGAGCCAGGACAGUACCUGGAUGGGAGACCUGGGAAAAACUAAGGGUGCUGCUGGAG